GAGGACCGGAGUGAACGAACCGCUGGUGUUCGGGUUGUCAUGCCAAUGGCACUGCCCGGUAGCUAUGUUCGGAACGGAUAACCGCUGAAAGCAUCUAAGCGGGAAGCCGGCCAAAAGAUGAGUCAUCCCUUGUACCUUGAGUACACAUAAGGGUCGUUGGAGACCACAACGUUGAUAGGUGAGGUGUGGAAGCGUGGUGACACGUUAAGCUAACUCAUACUAAUUGCCCGAGAGGCUUAACCAUACAACGCCCAAGGUGUU
rnacentral:rRNA from 1 species